ACGCUGGCGGCGUGCCUAAUACAUGCAAGUAGAACGCUGAAGAGAGGAGCUUGCUCUUCUUGGAUGAGUUGCGAACGGGUGAGUAACGCGUAGGUAACCUGCCUUGUAGCGGGGGAUAACUAUUGGAAACGAUAGCUAAUACCGCAUAACAAUGGAUGACCCAUGUCAUUUAUUUGAAAGGGGCAAAUGCUCCACUACAAGAUGGACCUGCGUUGUAUUAGCUAGUAGGUGAGGUAACGGCUCACCUAGGCGACGAUACAUAGCCGACCUGAGAGGGUGAUCGGCCACACUGGGACUGAGACACGGCCCAGACUCCUACGGGAGGCAGCAGUAGGGAAUCUUCGGCAAUGGGGGCAACCCUGACCGAGCAACGCCGCGUGAGUGAAGAAGGUUUUCGGAUCGUAAAGCUCUGUUGUAAGUCAAGAACGAGUGUGAGAGUGGAAAGUUCACACUGUGACGGUAGCUUACCAGAAAGGGACGGCUAACUACGUGCCAGCAGCCGCGGUAAUACGUAGGUCCCGAGCGUUGUCCGGAUUUAUUGGGCGUAAAGCGAGCGCAGGCGGUUUGAUAAGUCUGAAGUUAAAGGCUGUGGCUCAACCAUAGUUCGCUUUGGAAACUGUCAAACUUGAGUGCAGAAGGGGAGAGUGGAAUUCCAUGUGUAGCGGUGAAAUGCGUAGAUAUAUGGAGGAACACCGGUGGCGAAAGCGGCUCUCUGGUCUGUAACUGACGCUGAGGCUCGAAAGCGUGGGGAGCGAACAGGAUUAGAUACCCUGGUAGUCCACGCCGUAAACGAUGAGUGCUAGGUGUUGGAUCCUUUCCGGGAUUCAGUGCCGCAGCUAACGCAUUAAGCACUCCGCCUGGGGAGUACGACCGCAAGGUUGAAACUCAAAGGAAUUGGCGGGGGCCCGCACAAGCGGUGGAGCAUGUGGUUUAAUUCGAAGCAACGCGAAGAACCUUACCAGGUCUUGACAUCCCGAUGCUAUUUCUAGAGAUAGAAAGUUACUUCGGUACAUCGGUGACAGGUGGUGCAUGGUUGUCGUCAGCUCGUGUCGUGAGAUGUUGGGUUAAGUCCCGCAACGAGCGCAACCCCUAUUGUUAGUUGCCAUCAUUCAGUUGGGCACUCUAGCGAGACUGCCGGUAAUAAACCGGAGGAAGGUGGGGAUGACGUCAAAUCAUCAUGCCCCUUAUGACCUGGGCUACACACGUGCUACAAUGGUUGGUACAACGAGUUGCGAGUCGGUGACGGCAAGCUAAUCUCUUAAAGCCAAUCUCAGUUCGGAUUGUAGGCUGCAACUCGCCUACAUGAAGUCGGAAUCGCUAGUAAUCGCGGAUCAGCACGCCGCGGUGAAUACGUUCCCGGGCCUUGUACACACCGCCCGUCACACCACGAGAGUUUGUAACACCCGAAGUCGGUGAGGUAACCUUUUGGAGCCAGCCGCCUAAGGUGGGAUAGAUGAUUGGGGUG
rnacentral:rRNA from 1 species